GCGGGAGUGGCGGAACUGGCAGACGCGCUGGACUUAGGAUCCAGUGCCCUCUGGGCGUGUGGGUUCGACUCCCACCUCCCGCA
rnacentral:tRNA from 1 species